ACGGCGACGUCGUUGAAGGUGCAGAAGCCGGCGCCUUGCGCGCGCCGCGCAUGAUGGCUGCCGCCUGCUGUGUUGCAGGCGAUGCCGUG
rnacentral:tRNA from 1 species